UACAGAGGUCUCAAGCGUUGUUCGGAUUCAUUGGGCGUAAAGGGUGCGUAGGUGGUCUGUCAAGUCGGGGGGUGAAAUCUUUCGGCUCAACCGGAAAACUGCCUUCGAUACUGACAGACUAGAGGGAGGUAGGGGUUGCGGGAACUACCAGUGGAGCGGUGAAAUGCGUUGAUAUUGGUAGGAACGCCGGUGGCGAAGGCGACUCACUGGGUCUUUACUGACGCUGAUGCACGAAAGCUAGGGUAGCAAACGGG
rnacentral:rRNA from 1 species